rnacentral:antisense_RNA from 1 species
CUUGACCGACCCCAGCCACAGGGGCUUUCCGUCGGGCCGGUCCUGGCCGUAGGUGGUCAGCAGCGCAUGCGCCUC